rnacentral:rRNA from 1 species
AGUGAACGCUGGCGGUAUGCCUAACACAUGCAAGUCGAACGGCAGCACAGUAAGAUCUUGCUCCUACGGUUGGCGAGUGGCGGACGGGUGAGGCAUACAUCGGAAUCUACUUUUUCGUGGGGGAUAACGUAGGGAAACUUACGCUAAUACCUCAUACGACCUACGGGUGAAAGCAGGGGAUCUUCGGACCUUGCGCGAUUGAAUUAGCCGAUGUCGGAUUAGCUAGUUGGCGGGGUAAAGGCCCACCAAGGCGACGAUCCGUAGCUGGUCUGAGAGGAUGAUCAGCCACACUGGAACUGAGACACGGUCCAGACUCCUACGGGAGGCAGCAGUGGGGAAUAUUGGACAAUGGGCGAAAGCCUGAUCCAGCCAUGCCGCGUGGGUGAAGAAGGCCUUCGGGUUGUAAAGCCCUUUUGUUGGGAAAGAAAAGCAGCAGGUUAAUACCCCGCUGUUCUGACGGUACCCAAAGAAUAAGCACCGGCUAACUUCGUG